CCACGCCGUGCGCCCAGGCCCCAGACGGCCAGACCCAGACGCGACUCGACAGACGCCCCGACCCCGCGCCGCGCCGCCGCCCCCCACGCUAGCCCCAGCCGCCCACCGCGCCACCGCCCGCCGCCACCGGCACCACCUUCCGCGUGCGCCUGCGCCUGCGCGAGCGGCCGAGCGUGCAGGCCCCCGAGCCCGAGGCGGCCUCUUCCUCUUCUUAUCCCCGGUGACCUCGGCUUCCUGUCCACACGACGGCGCCGCCCUUCCACUCCGCCUCGCACCUCCACGCAACGGCGUCGCCCCUCCACUCCUCCUCGCACCUCCACGCAACGGCGCCGCCCCUCCGAUCCGCCUUUGCCUUCGCUGGAUCCGGCGAACCGCGUGUCCUCUGCUUCCACCUCUUUGCCGUCGUCGUCCACCACUGGGGUCAUCGAGUUCGCCACUCGCCGCAUCCACGUCGAGGACAAGGUCGUCAAAGCCCAGAUCUGGGACACCGCUGGCUAGGAAAGCGACGGCCGACGGCCAGCAGGGGCAAGGGGCUUCUCUAGCCGGGAAGACGACCGAAGAACGGCAGCAACAACGGAGGAAUCUUGCAACAUGCCUGAAACUGAAGAUAACAUUGAGAUUGAGACACAAUCAAUGAAGAUGCCUGGGUGGUUUGGACUUUGGUGCCUGGAGGCGCAGCUUCAUCUUCAUGGGAGUCAUGUUUAUCUCUGUUGGGUGCUUCAAAACUAUAUUUAUUAAUUGUGAUAUUUGAAGUGUAAACUGUCAGUUUGGUCAUGUACUGGUAGUGUUGUUUAUCUCUGAACAUGUAUACUAGCGACUGGGCAUGUUUAUUCAGUUACUCAGUUUGGUCA